AGCAGCCGCCGCGGUAAUACGAAGGGGGCUAGCGUUGUUCGGAAUUACUGGGCGUAAAGCGCACGUAGGCGGAUAUUUAAGUCAGGGGUGAAAUCCCAGAGCUCAACUCUGGAACUGCCUUUGAUACUGGGUAUCUUGAGUAUGGAAGAGGUAAGUGGAAUUGCGAGUGUAGAGGUGAAAUUCGUAGAUAUUCGCAGGAACACCAGAGGCGAAGGCGGCUUACUGGUCCAUUACUGACGCUGAGGUGCGAAAGCGUGGGGAGCAAACAGGAUUAGAUACCCCCGUAGUCCCUGUCUCUUAUAC
rnacentral:rRNA from 1 species